rnacentral:rRNA from 1 species
GAUGAACGCUGGCGGUGUGCCUUAGGCAUGCAAGUCGAACGAGAGCCCUUCGGGGCAAAAGUGGCAGACGGGUGAGUAACGAGUAGGUAUCUACCUCUUGGUGGGGAAUAGCCAUCCGAAAGGGUGGGUAAUACCGCAUAAUCUCGUACUUUGUACGAGCAAAGCGCGUAACUGCGCGCCGAGAGAGGAGCCUGCUUGCUAUCAGCUAGUUGGUGGGGUAACGGCCCACCAAGGCGAUGACGGCUAGGGGGUGUGAGAGCACGACCCCCCACAAGGUCACUGAAACACGGGGCCUACACCUACGGGUGGCAGCAACCGGGAAUAUUGCGCAAUGGACGAAAGUCUGACGCAGCGACACCGCGUGUGGGAUGAAGCAUUUCGGUGUGUAAACCACUGUGGCGAGGGAGAAAGUUCUGAUAGUACCUCGCUAGAAAGCACCUGCUAACUACGUGCCAGAAGCCUCGGCAAUACGUAGGGUGCAAGCGUUAUCCGGAUUUACUGGGCGUAAAGGGUUUCGCAGGCUGACUAUCAAGUCUCAUCUUAAAGACCGCGGCUCAACUGCGGAAAUGGAUGAGAGACUGGUAGUC